UCUUCGAAAAUCUUACCAUUUUAUUGUGAUUUUUGGAUCUUUGGAAGUAUCAAACCAUUGACAUCUGAAAAUAUAGGAGGUUUUCCUUAUAUAAAACGAACGCUUGAAUUUUUUAAAUAAAAACGUGCUUGAAUCAACUUGAACGUUCUUGCUUUAUUACAGAGCUUGGAGCGGGACGUUGGAGCCUAAUACCAGUAGGCUAGCCGUUGGGAAAUUCAUGCAAUAAUCUUUAGCCAUUGGAAGAUUCAUACAAAGAGCUAUAAUUAGAGGCAAUUGGGAAAUUCAUGUAUUUAAAGCCUCCAACUGAAGGAAAAAGAAGGGGUGAAUAAAAUCAGGGCAAGAGAGGGAAGAGGAUUUGUGGCAGAGGGACUGGGAUUUGGAUUUGCAUCGGAGUGUUAUGUCAUUGUAAAACAUUGGCUAGAAGAAGAUUUGUGGUAGGGACUCAGAUUUGCAUUUGCAUUAGAGUGUUCUAUCAUUGGACAGAAGGUGCUUACAGCUGAUGGAAUUACACCAUCAAAUGGAUUUAUCUCUUUGAAAGAUUUAGAAACUAAGUCCCAGCUGAUGAUCUAAACAUGCAAUGGCAUUCUUGGUUCGCAGUUAAGGGCUUGACGGUGAGCUGGUCGUGAUUGAUCAGUCCCACCUGAUGAUCUGAUCUAAACAUGCAAUGAAGUUCUUGGUUCUUGGUUAAAGGGCUUGACAGUGAGCUAGUUGUGAUCAAUCAGGGCAGCAUUGCAGGUUGAAGAAUGAGUCGCAUGGGUGUUAACUCGAGGACAGAUGGGGGAACAUGGAUAGGAGAAGAUGGAUGAAAGGAAAUUAGAGGCCGACAACGAAGUAUUUGCUUUUGUAAUAGGAGAUGUAUUUAAAGCAUAAUACAAUGUAAUAUAUAUAUUUUUAAUGUUGUAUCCGAGGAGAAACUCCUUGGUAAAGCCAUGUAUUAUCUAUACUAGUGUUAGGCAAUAAAGCCUAAAGAAAUUCAUGUAUCAUCUGUAAAUAUUUCUGCUAGGAAGAAAUUCCUUGGGCAAGAUUGAAGGUUUUCUUUACCCGGUUCUUUCCUACCAGUGCCCACACUAAA